AUAUAGUAGGUAGUAGGGUACGUAAUAUUUUGGAUAUUAAGAGGAAAGUUCAAAUCUUUUGUUAUAUA
rnacentral:tRNA from 1 species